rnacentral:rRNA from 1 species
AUGCAUCUGCCUUUUCUCCACUUGGUCAUCAUCGUGCUCCUGAUUCCUUGGCCCUUCAGUUCAGUGCUUCUGUGCGCACCUGUCAGUGUGCUUGUCCCUGGCAUGAGACUCGCUCCUGACAAAACUCUCACCUCGGACCAAGGUUCGUUCGCCUUAGACUUCUUUACCCCCUCAAAUUCAACUGAAAAUACAUAUGUUGGCAUAUGGUUCAACGAUAUCCCAUUGCGCACCAUCGUCUGGGUUGCCAACCGCGAUAAUCCGAUCACUGAUGCUUCAUCCGCGAUGCUUACUAUGACCGGCAACUCUAGCCUUAUGUUGUCUGAAAACAAUGGCCACCACAUACUUUGGAUGGCAAACACAAUCACUGGCAGCAACUCUUCGGCCAAACUUCUCAACAAUGGCAAUCUUGUAGUCCUAUCAUCAGACAGUGACAUGUUAUGGCAGAGUUUCGAGAAUCCAAGCGACACCAUCCUUGCUGGCAUGCCUAUGCAGGCGACCCACAAGACACACCCACCAUGGCGGAUCAUCUCUUGGAAGGGCCCUGAAGACCCGUCAAAAGGCAGGUUCUCUGUUGGGAAUGACCUUGACACUCCCCUACAGUCCUUCAUCUGGAAUGGGUCAGUGCCAUACUUCCGUGCUGCUGUGAGGAACGGCUAUGUAUCCUCCAACGGGGGCCUCCAGGCAGUUAGUCCACUCAUGUAUUUGACGAUUUACAUGGGCACCAAUGGCGAGACCUAUUCAACAUUUGGACUAUCAGAUGGCUCCUCCAGGAUAUUUUACAAGGUUGACUACUCUGGAAAGACCACGAUAUGGAGAUGGAAUACCAGCUUAACAGAUUGGACCCUCAUUACAUCGUGGCCAGCUUACCGGUGCAAUCUCUAUGGAUACUGUGGUGCAUAUGGCUACUACGACAACACACAGGGAAUUCCUACAUGCAAGUGCCUUGCUGGAUUUGACCCUAGUAACAAAACAGAGUGGGUUGGAGGCAUUUUUUCUCAUGGUUGCCGGCGAAAGGAGGAACUGCAGUGUGGUGGACAGGACAAUUUCCUGACCUUGCCAGCAAUGAAGGUGCCAGACAAGUUUGUACGCCCGUGGAACAAAAGCUAUGAUGACUGCAAAGUGGAGUGCAGCAAAAAUUGCUCAUCUGUAGCAUAUGCUUAUGCUAAUCUAAGCACCACCUACAUUGAUGGGGAUGCAACAAGGUGCCUGAUGUGGACCGGGGAGCUGAUUGACGUGGGGAAGGGUGCCAUUGGCAAUGAGAACCUAUAUCUCCGGCUUGCUGCCUUGUCAAGAAAAGGGCAAAAGAGCAUCGUAAUAAAAGUUAUACCAGGAAUUUCAGCAAGUGUGUUGCUGAUACUUCUAUUGGCAUGCCUUGUAUGGUCCUGCAAGUUUAAAGGAAAACAUGACAAGAAAGGAAGACCAAAGAGACUGAUAAUGGGGGAUUUGCGCAGUAGUGAUGGACUCGGAGAGGAAACUCAUGAACUUCCAUUUAUUAGCUUUGAGGAAAUAGUUGCUGCAACAAACAACUUCUCUAUGUCCAAUUUGCUAGGAGAAGGCGGCUUUGGUAAAGUUUACAAGGGGCUCUUCCAUGGCAACAAAGAAGUUGCUGUUAAAAGGCUCAGUAGAGGUUCUGGGCAGGGGGCAAUAGAGUUUAGGAAUGAAGUAGUCGUGAUUGCUAAACUGCAACACAAAAACCUUGUAAGGCUUGUCUGUUAUUGUGUGCAGGGCGAUGAAAAGCUACUUAUUUAUGAGUAUCUGCCAAACAGAAGCCUGGAUACCACUCUUCCUUUUCAAUUCUGA